CCGGUAGGCGGGGCUCGGACACAAAGAAAAGGCCAGGCCUACCACUCCUAUGGCACAGUAUUGAUGAGAGACAUCAGUGGAGCUCCCCACCUCCACCCCAGGCUUGGAACUUAGGGAAUGACUGGUUUUUGUCAUUUCACACAACAGCUGAAGGAUUCUGUCCCCACCUCGUCCUCUGUGAAGUCUGCUGGACGUACCUGCCAGAAUCUUCUGAAGAUGACGUUUGCUGAACACUGACCCACAGGGGUUUGAUGGAUUAUUGACAAUGAGACAAGCUGUCUUUUCAUCAAUUAGAUAUUCCAGUUGUUUCAGGUCAAUUUCCCAAGAUUUCUCUGGCUGGAGAGAAAGAAAGGAUGAGACUAAGAUGAUUCUGAAACAUUUAGGGGGAAUCCUCACUUAUCUCAAG
rnacentral:lncRNA from 1 species